rnacentral:lncRNA from 1 species
UUUAAAUAAAAAGGAUAAACAUUAUGGAUUUCCAUUAUCUCAAGCAAAAACAAAGAGUUCAAAAUAUUAGUGGUAAGAACUGUCAAAAACUUGUGAUAGCUAUGAUGAAGAGAUUUAUGAAAAAUUCACUCAUGGCCAAAUCUAAUAUGGCAGCUGGAAAAGGCAAAGGAUCUUUUUAGCCUAACUAAGCUAUACAACUUAAUAAAAGUUUGUGCAUCGACUUCUCACGAAUCAUACACAGAGUCGAUUGUCGAUGCAAUAAUUGCUGAUUCGUGAAAACGGGCAACUUUUGCUUGUCUUAAAGUGCCUUAUAUCCAUCGUUAUAAUAUUACUUUGUUUGUAAAUUGUUUUAAAAAAUAAAUUUUAAAAUAACUUUUAAAUAAA